UACGUAUGGGGCAAGCGUUAUCCGGAUUUACUGGGUGUAAAGGGAGCGUAGGCGGCCUGGCAAGUCUGAUGUGAAAUACCGGGGCCCAACCCCGGGGCUGCAUUGGAAACUGUCAGGCUGGAGUGCCGGAGAGGCAGGCGGAAUUCCUAGUGUAGCGGUGAAAUGCGUAGAUAUUAGGAGGAACACCAGUGGCGAAGGCGGCCUGCUGGACGAUGACUGACGCUGAGGCUCGAAAGCGUGGGGAGCAAACAGG
rnacentral:rRNA from 1 species